AGUGGCCAAAUGGUUAGUGGGUCCUGGGGCACCCUUCUGGAAGCUGAUCAUCAUUCUAUCUGAGCAAUGUGACUAGUUUUGAUUUUUUUGGUACUUUAGGUCGUGGUAUUGACUCUCUCCAAACCUGAAGUUCUUCCAUUCUUCAAAAAGCAUAUUGUUACUGUUUGUAGAUGUUUUUAAACAUUUUCUUUUAGUUAUAUUUAAUCAGUUUUAAGUACCUUAAUUUAUUCAUGUUUUGUUUAUAGUUGUGCUAUCUACACAAACAUGUUUUGCACAUGCUUCAUGGGAAAAUGAUAGUUUCCAUCCUUAUAAUUGUAACAACUUCUCUAUGAUUUGGUGAGCAAAGCCCAAAACGACUGGUGGGGUCUCUGGAGAAUAUUUUGUUGGACCAAAAUAAGAGCAAAGAUAAUUGACAAGGAAGUGGAUCGUUUCUCAUCAGGGGCACACUUGCAUUAAUCUGACCUGGAAAGGGAGAAGAUUUAAGAACAGAGGAUUUCAGAUUUGACUAAGGUGGGACUAUGAUGCAUAGCACCAUGCGAUAUUUACCUCAAUGAGUUUGAGAGGGAAUGAUUUUAUGUCAAAUCAGCCUAAAUUUCCAAGCCUAAAUUUCCAGCUGAUAAGUUGGCUUGCUCUAUUUGUUUUUAGUUUUCAACCUGGUAGAGUGAUAUUUCAAUCUUAAGUUGAUUAGAUUUGCAUUAGCUCUGGUGACAGAGUGGGAAAGAUGCAAGGAGGGGCCAUGCUCCAUGAACUUGCAAGCUUUUUGAACAUGAAGAUAGGUUUUUAUCUGUGAUACAAAAGCUUGUCAAAUCCAACUAAUAUGAUUGGUAGAUUCAUUGAUUCAUGUUUAUACAUGUUCACACUAACCCUUUUCACCAAAUUCACUGUAUGAAGAGAUUUUUAUAUUCAGCGGCGCGACAAUUAGGAGCCGAUGAAAACCUUCUUCCUUCUGGUA